GACGAACGCUGGCGGCGUGCUUAACACAUGCAAGUCACGGGGCCCGCAAGGGUAACCGGCGAACGGGUGCGUAACACGUGAGCAAUCUGCCGUGAUCUGGGGGAUAGCCGGCCCAACGGCCGGGUAAUACCGCAUACGCUCGUUGAGUGGCAUCACUUGACGAGGAAACCUCCGGGGGAUCACGAGGAGCUCGCGGCCUAUCAGCUAGUUGGUGGGGUAACGGCCUACCAAGGCAAUGACGGGUAGCUGGUCUGAGAGGAUGGCCAGCCACAUUGGGACUGAGAUACGGCCCAGACUCCUACGGGAGGCAGCAGUGGGGAAUAUUGCGCAAUGGCCGAAAGGCUGACGCAGCGACGCCGCGUGGAGGAUGACG
rnacentral:rRNA from 1 species